GACUACUGGCGUAUCUAAUCCUGUUUGCUCCCCACGCUUUCGGGCCUCAACGUCAGUUGCAGUCCAGCAGGCCGCCUUCGCCACCGGUGUUCCUCCUGAUAUCUACGCAUUUCACCGCUACACCAGGAAUUCCGCCUGCCCCUCCUGCACUCCAGCCACGCAGUUCCAAGAGCAGUCCCGGGGUUGGGCCCCGGGCUUUCACUCCUGGCUUGCAUCGCCGUCUUCGCCCCCUUUACACCCAGUAAAUCCGGAUAACGCUUGCCCCCUACGUAUUACCGCGGCUGCUGGCACGUAGUUAGCCGGGGCUUCUUCUUCAGGUACCGUCAUUUUCUUCCCUGCUGACAGGGCUUUACGCGCCGAGGCGCUUCUUCACCCACGCGGCGUCGCACCAUCAGGGUUUCCCCCAUUGUGAAUGAUUCUCGACUGCUGCCUCCCGUAGG
rnacentral:rRNA from 1 species